GAGUUCCCGUCGUGGCUCAGUGGUUAAUGAAUUUGACAAGGAACCAUGAGGUUACCAGGUUCGAUCCCUGGCCUUGCUCAGUGGGUUGAGGAUCCUACGCUGCCGUGAGCUGUGGUGUAGGUCACAGACGAGGCUCAGAUGCUGCAUUGCUGUAGCUCUGGUGUAGGCUGGUGGCUACAGCUCCGAUUAGACCCCUAGCCUGGGAACCUCUAUAUGCCAUGGGAGCGGCCCAAGAAAUGGCAAAAAGACCAAAAAAAAAAAAAAAGAAUUAAAAAUUGAAUCUUCUUUUAUGAUAUUUCCACCUCAAUUCCUUAAUCUGACUGUGCUUGCUUCUCUUGCUUGAAUCAAAGAACUCUACUUUCCCACUUAUUAAACACCAGUCUCAAAAAAAUACUGUGCUUAGUUUGAGAUUUCUUUUUGUUUUUAACCACAUAAAGGAAAAUUAAAAGGGUUUCUUGACCAUAAAAUGGAAAAUAUUUCACAUUCAGUAUGACAUAUUAAAAAAAAAUAAUGAGUAGUAUUAAUGAUUAAAUGUUCAAAUGACAUUUAAUGAAAGUUAGAAAGUUGAAAAUGACCAAGGAAGAGCCCAAAGCAGAAAUAAGAGAACGAAAUAAAAAAGAAGUAUGUUUUCUGAGGGGUAGGAGGAAUGGUAAGAUAAUCUUCCAAAUGAUAUUGAGAAACAAUGUAUAGCCAAACACCCGAAGGAAUGUAAGUUAUUAAAGGGAGAGAUCAGGUUUUUCCUCUAGGUAUUCCUAUGCUGUUUUUGAUACCAAAUUAGAUUACCAAUUUAAGUUUCAAAAUCAGAUGUAAAUGGGCCUCUGGCUGGAUGUAAACCUAUUUCGAUGAAUGCUGAAUAAGCAUAUUUUGGCUACUGCAGUCCAAGACAAAUACAUGUUCAGAAUACAUAAAAAGCAACACACAAAUGAUGUCAACAUCUUGCACUGCAAAGAAUCUUCUCUAUAGUCUUUUAUGUGUAAGCCUCCAAUAAUGUGCAUUGAUAAUUAUAAAAUUUAAUUGAUAACGAUAAGAAAACCUGCAACUAAAAUAUCACUGUAAAUCUCGAUUGAAAAUCACAGCAGCAGUCGUGAUGGGUUUAGAUUUAUUUGAAAAUAUAGCUUUAGUCCCAUAUUAGUUCUACAGCAGAAGCAAGCCUGCUUUUGACUCAAGAAUCACUGAAAGGGUUAACUUGCAAUCACAUGGACUCUGUUACUGGCACAAGAAAAAAAAAAAUAGAAAAACAGAAAAAUUGGAGCAGGGAAGGAAAAAAGAAGAUAGAAGGAAGUCCACUGUGGAGAGGGGUGCAGUUCCUCUAACGACUGCUCUAUAUACAGCCAUGACCCAAGUUUCUAUCUUACCCUGGGUCAAAAGAAGAAAGUCAAAGCUGUAAUGAUACGGAAGUCAACUGAAACAUCUUGACCUGGUCAGUGAUGAUCACUAGCACUAAACUGAAAUAUUAAAAAAGCAACCCUAAUGAGCAAGAUUGGAAGACAUAUUUCUACCCAGAUUCUGAAGCUGCAUAGUAUAUUAGAAAGACGUCCAAUCACAGAUUUAAAGAAUGUAAAUCUGACAAUUCAGCAUCUUCUUAACUGCAUCUUGAAUUCAUCUUCUGAUUAAGCAUCUCCAGGAAGGAUACUGACUUCCAAGGAAAACUUUCCUAUUUGGGGAUUGCCUUAUUCAUCAGAAAAUUCUCAUUAUGUAGAGUCAACAUUGCUGCUGAAAUGUUGAAAUUGACAUGUGGGCUGGAACCUUGAGGGGCUCUCUAUUUCACUCAGUAAUAUACAAUUGCCAGUUAGCUGCAAUUAGUGUUUGGCCACACAUCACACAACAUGGUUUGAAAAUACCAAAGUAGAAGAAGAGCUUAGGAAACAAUUUUAUAAUCUCUAAAAGUUACGUUGUUUGAAAAUUAAACGCAUUUAACAUUUAUAAGUUCUAAAGGAGAGACUCAAACGUGGGGUUGGAAAUCUCACUAUACCACCGCUCAAGGGUUUCACGGGCCUUCACAGGUCAGACAGUCUGAAAAGAGCAAUAUUUUUCAUAAUUCUGAGGACAGGGAAAAAACCCAUUGUGUUUCAUAAAGAUGCAACAGGGCAGCCACAUUUCCUCCCAUGCAUGAAUAAUGUAUGAUCUACAAUGUUAUUUGCUAGACUGUCUAAUCACCAGCAUCUUUCAAAAUGUCUAUAUAAGCUUUAGCUCAUUAAGAACAAACAUGUUAUCUGUACAAAAAUAUCACAUACCUGUGAACACUCAGAAUAAAAUUCUGCUGGAUGCCAAUGCGCAUAUCAAACUGACAUGGGUAAGCUAACUUCUGUCCAUUUCUCAAAGAUACAAAUAUUGGGAAAAGAAUUUAAUUUCAGUUUGUGAAAUGCAUUCAUGCUUAAUCAAACGCAUGCACACACAAACACACACACACACACGCACGCACACACACUUUAUCUACCUAGUACCAAGAAAGAAUCAAGGGGCUAUGCAUCCUUUUAAAUAGAAGUGGAAAAAAAACUUAACAGAAACAGAAGUGGCUACUUAAGAAAGCUUUUAAAGCAAGGUUUCUUCUAUUAGAAAAGGUUUUAUAAUCUUGAAAGGGGCUUCCAUAAUUCAUGAAAGAAUAAUAAGGCAAAGUUACUUUGUGCAAUCAUAAGCUUGCAAUGUGAUAAUAAGACAAAGAAGAGGAGAAAGGCAAAAGUAAGUUUCUGAUAGGUACUAAAAACAAAAUACGAGAUUAAAUUAAAAGAGUAGUAGUUUAGGACCAAUGCUGUUUAAAAAAAAAGAAAAAAAGGAAAUUCCUAAAUUCACCUUUUCUAUAUUUUAUCAUUUAAUAAACACUAUAAUUAUGAUAGAGGUAAAAUGAUGUUAAAAAUAGCUUGCCAGGAGUUCCCGUCGGGGCUCAGCAGUUAAAGAACUUGACUGGCAUUCAUGAGGACACAGAUUUGAUCCCUGGCCUUGCUCAGUGGGUUAAGGAUCUGGCAUUGCCGUGAACUGUGAUUUAGAUCCCAGACGUGGCUCAGAUCCCAGUUCCAAUGGCUCUGGCAUAGGCCAGCGGCUACAGCUCUGAUUGGACCCCUAGCCUGGGAACCUCCAUAUGCCGUGGGUGUGACCCUAAAAAGACAAAAAGACAAAAAAAAUUAAAAUUAAAAUUAAAAAAUAUAUAUAAAUUAAAAAAAAAAUAGUAUGCUGGAAUUUCCUGGUGGCUCUGUGGGUUAAAGAUCCAGCACUGUCACUGCUGAGGCAUGGGUUCAAUCCCUGGCAUGAGAACUUUGGCAUGCCACAGGUGUGGCCAAAAAAAAAAAAAAAAAAAGUAUACCAUCUGUAGGUACAAAGGAAAGAAUGACGUAUUUCAAUAUCAUAUUAAAAAUAAUUUCCUUUAUAUUUUUAAUAGUAUCUGAUUAAAAAAUUCGCUUCAAAUCAACAAGUAUUUGCUAAGCACGCCUGUCAGCUUCCUAUUCAUUCUUUAAAUAAAUAUUUAUUGUUUACCCCACUUAUACAGAAGACACAUCUGAACCACUAUCCUCUCUUUUAUUUUGGACAUAACGUUAAGAAAAGAUCCCAAAAAGGGAAGAUAAUGAAGGGCAGAAAUCCAGGAUGUUACAGGAAAACAGACCUGGAGUUUUGAAGACUUAAACGAGUCUUACCAAAUUCAUUCCUUUGUUAGUAUCAGAAAAAGUAGAAAAGAAUUUUUGUG
rnacentral:lncRNA from 1 species